GAUGAACGCUAGCGGCAGGCUUAAUACAUGCAAGUCGAGGGGCAGCAGGAUUGUAGCAAUACAGUUGCUGGCGACCGGCAAACGGGUGCGGAACACGUACGCAACCUUCCUUUAACUGGAAGAUAGCCCACCGAAAGGUGGAUUAAUACUCCAUAAUAUAACUGAAUGGCAUCAUUUAGAUAUUAAAGCUCCGGCGGUUAAAGAUGGGCGUGCGUCUGAUUAGGUAGUUGGCGGGGUAACGGCCCACCAAGCCUUCGAUCAGUAGCUGAUGUGAGAGCAUGAUAAGCCACACGGGCACUGAGACACGGGCCCGACUCCUACGGGAGGCAGCAGUAAGGAAUAUUGGUCAAUGGACGCAAGUCUGAACCAGCCAUGCCGCGUGGAGGAUGAAGGCCCUCUGGGUUGUAAACUUCUUUUCUUUGGGACGAAACCCCUGUUUCUACGGGGACUGACGGUACCAGAGGAAUAAGCACCGGCUAACUCCGUGCCAGCCGCCGCCGUAAAAC
rnacentral:rRNA from 1 species